rnacentral:snoRNA from 1 species
GCUUGAUAGUCCCAUGCCAGAGCAAACUGUGGCCCUAAUUCAUUGCCUGGCCUCUGCUCAUAGGCUGCAGACACUGAAGCAGGUUACACAGCA